ensembl:lncRNA
UUUUUUUUUUUUUUCCUGUAUGAGCGCUGAACUAGUUUUGUGGUGAGAUGUAUCACCUUCUUACUUGGGAAUUAAUGAUGUGUGAAGGACUUAAUAGCCAGACAGUAUCAGAUCCUCCCGAGGAUACUCUGUUGAAAUAAAAGCUGUUUUAUUUUGGAAAUCUGUUGCACUAUGUGAAAUGACUGUGCCGAGGGUGUUUUUUCUGUCACUUUAAUCUAUCACAUAAAUUAGUUUUUCAGACAUUUUAAGUUAGCACAGAAAUAGAGCUAUCUCGUCAUGAAGGAGAGUCGACUUUUCAAUGACCCUGAGAUGCAGGAAAAUACCGGUUGAGUUCAUGAGCAGCAGCUCUGGGAGAGCCACAAUCCAACUGGCAUUUAAAGAUGCAGUGAAAAGCACACAAGAGGUACAAAAAAGAAAAAAAAAUGGUGGUGUGAACAUGUGAUAUUUCUGCAAGAUAGUGACACAUUUUCACAAAGUAGGAAUGUGUCAUUGGGUAGCUAAUAAAUCAGUCUUCUCACCUCUUUCUGCUUGAAAAUGGCAUCUGCUUCCUAACUUCCUACUGGAGCAAACAAACAAAAAUCAAGACCUUACAACACUCAAAACUAGGAUUGAGAGUUAAUUGGGUUCCAAAAUCUUCAGGAAAUUUGUAGCAGUUACAAAACCUACGGGCUGGCACUGGAUUGAGGCAGGCAGUAGAUGAUUCCAGACAAGCUUCUGGACCAGGAGCAGAAUUUUCAUCCAGAAAGGAAGAACGAAUCUCAUGACCUACCCACUGGUUUAGAAUAUAUCUCCUCUGCUGUUCAGAGUUUUGUCUUUGCAGGACGCAAAGCUGAUCCCACUUUUAUUUCCUAUCAUCUUCAGAGAUGCUCUCACUGAGGCCUUGGCAUCCUACCACGCGCCCCUAGCUAUUUAUUCUCUCACUCCUUCAUGAAACGACUCCACAUUCUCUUCUGUCUUCAACCCAAUAUGUCUUUCCCUCCUCAUUCACAGAUGAUGACCCUUCUUCACAUUUCACAGAGAAAACAAAAACAGCGAGAGCAAACUUUCCACGUGUUUCCAUCAUAAAAUAGACUGACCCAUUCAAAUGUGUGCCUAUUGUCUUUUCUUUCCUCUGUAGUGUUAUAGCGGAUGAACUGUUCACCAUUGUAAACUGGGUUCAGACUCUCAGGGACCCGAUUUUGCAGUUAGUCCUCCCCCUCUUUUAUUGUCUAAUUUCUCUUUGCAUAAAAUUCUCAUCUGCAUAAAAAAUGCUUUAAGAAUUUCUUCUUUAAAAACAUGCACACACAUAACCUACUUCGGUCUCAUUUAUCCAGCCACCAUCACAUUCAUAUGUUCCUAUUUAAUGAACAAAUCUUUGAAUGGAGUUGUUUCUUCCUCUGUCUUCAUAUGUCUCUUUAAUCCUCUGUUGAUUACACUCCAACUACCUUUAGUUCUUAUCACUUCAAUAAAACUAAUUUUCUUGAGGUCAUCAAUUUUCAGUUUCUUCAAUAACUGAAGCCAAAAAUUGACUCUCACUGCUGACUUUAUUCAAGUCUUAAUUAUUAUGCACAUGAUUAAAAAGCCAUAUAAUAUGUUAACAGUUACAAAUAUGCAAAUACGUAAAAUUUGACAGAACCAAAAGGAGGAACAGAUGAAUUCAGGUUGCACUGGGAGAUUUUACCACACCUUUCUCAGUAACUGGAAGUUCAAGUAAAAAAGAGAAAGCAAGAAAGGAAAAUUACCAUUUGAACAUCUCCAUUCAUAAGUGUGACCCAAUUGAAAUUGUGUAGUAUGGCAUAUAGAUUAUUUUCAAGUGCACAAGUAAUAUUUACCAAGAUAAUCCAAUGAAGCUCAAUAAAGCCAAUGAAAAGGGAAGUGGGAUCGGCUCACAUAAAGAAGGCAUGUAAAAAGUGUGGCUAUCAUAUAAGUAGCUGGCAAGAAGAAAUCAGCUAAUUCAUUGCUACUAAGGCCCAGUUAGAAGAAAAAAAAAAUUCCUAUACUCCUAGGUAAAGACCAGGAGGGCAUGCUGGGCUCAAUAUAACUAGUAUCUCUUGCAGCCAGGGAAGAGGCAAGAGCAUCUCUCCUGCAUAAGAAAUUCCACAGAUAAAAAUCAGAGCAUGACUGCCAUGAAGAGGGAAAGCAGGGAGGCUUAGCUCACUUCACCUGCAAAGCCCAGGCACACAGGAUCUAUCUAAGUUUGAGGAUAAACCAGGGCAAAAGAGAGAAGCCCUAAGCUGCACACCACCAGCCUGGUGAGCACUGAGGGGCAAGAACAUAGACACAGAUUUGCUCUGAGGUGUCAUCAUUCAGGGAGUCUCCAGAACACACAUGGGCACCUCAGCCCCCAGCCUAAGCACAGGCAUCUCUAGGUGCAUCUGAAGCUCCUGUGUGCUGCAAGUUACCAUAGCAACAGCAAAACCCAAACCUGGCACAACCUGUGACUACCCAACACCCGCCACAAACUGCCUGGCACAGGAGCAAGAAAUCCCCCUUUGGGGUAUAAGUACUAUGCACCUCAGUCCAUGCUAUUCUCCACACCAUGUCUGGGAUUCCAUAAAAAUUUAUGAGAUGUACAAUAAUGCGACGAAAAGCAACUCACUUUGAGAUACUUGGCCACCAAUAAAACCAGACUUAGAAUCACCCAGAUGUUAGAACUAUCAGAGAGGAAAAUUAAAAUAACUGUGGUACAGUGUUAAAGAUUUAGUGGAAAAAGUGGGUAUCAUGAACAAACAGUCUGGGAAUUUCAACAGAGCAAUAAAAAUGAUAAGAGUGAAUGGAGUAAAAUGAAUUCCUUCAAUGGCUCAUGACAGAUUUGACAGGCUGAAGAAAUGAUAGGUGGACUUGAAAUACAUUCAUAGAAAUGAUCCAAAUUAAAACAUGUACACAGUCCCACAUACACACACACACAAGGCAGUGUACAAAGAAGAAAAGGGCAUCCAAAGGCUGGAGGACAAUGAGAAACGGUGUGAACAUACAUGAAUGGUGCCCUACAGGCAAAAAAAAAAAAAAAAAAAAAGAAAGAGAAUAAAGCAGUAGAAGUUAGACAGCAGCAAAGAUCAGUGCUUCCAGAGAUAAGGGAAGCAAUAAGGUGAGUCCUUCUUCUAUUAGCCAUUUUCUGUCUGCUGGAGGGAUGUCAAGACAAUGGAAGAAAGAGCAAGAAUUCCGAGGUGGCUACACUUCCCAGGGCAAAACCCUGGAGAGCAGAAAGCUGCCCGUGGAGGAAGUGGAGAGGAUCUGCAGAAGGACGCGUGGGUCUGAGACGUGACGGGCACAGGGACGCGUGGGUCUGAGAAGGGACGGGCACAGGUACGCGAGGGUCUGAGAAGGGACGGGCACAGGUACGCGGGGGUCUGAGAAGUGACGGGCACAGGUACGCGUGGGUCUGUGAAGUGACGGGCACAGGUACGUGUGGGUCUGAGAAGAGACGGGCACAGGUACGUGAGGGUCUGAGAAGGGACGGGCACAGGUACGCGUGGGUCUGAGAAGUGACGGGCACAGGUAUGUGAGGGAGUGGAUCAAAUCGGGAAGAAGGAAUACCAGGCAUUUCUGGGAUUUCUCCCCUCACUUUCUUGCUAUACUUUCAGCCCCUGAACUGGGCCCACUGUUGGAACUGUGCCCCUGUCGAUGCAGGGGUUGGAAAAAGAAUUUCCAGGGUGAAAAGACAUAUAAGUUUAUUGAGAUAAGAGAAGCUGCUAGUGCACCAGGACUGCUUUCUAAUGAUCAGAGAGAGCUGACUCCCCUGUGUGGUCAUAUCUGUUUUUACAGCCCUGGGAGAGAAGAGAGGUCAUACCAUAUACUUGAUGACCUGCUGAUUGGCUGGGAAAGAGGGGUCUUAUAAUACACUUGCCCCUAUAGAGGCAGGGUGAGGGGUGGGCCAUAUACCUUUCCUAGUAGGGGGCAGGAAGGAGUAGGCCAGGUUGCUCAGUGUGGGGAGGAGGCAUUACAAUAAGAUGGGUGGGGCAAUAAGGAUCUGGUAAUUCUUAUGUUGGCCGGAGGCUUUGAGUUUUACCAUCUCCUUGGAGAGACCUUGAAGUCCCACACCAACUUCUCAUCCCAUUGAGACCACUGCUUUGUGCCUGAGCUCUAUUCUACUUACUGG